rnacentral:rRNA from 1 species
UACGUAGGGUGCAAGCGUUGUCCGGAAUUAUUGGGCGUAAAGAGCUCGUAGGCGGUCUGUCGCGUCUGCUGUGAAAACUCUGGGCUUAACCCUGAGCUUGCAGUGGGUACGGGUAGACUAGAGUGCGGUAGGGGAGACUGGAAUUCCUGGUGUAGCGGUGAAAUGCGCAGAUAUCAGGAGGAACACCGGUGGCGAAGGCGGGUCUCUGGGCCGUAACUGACGCUGAGGAGCGAAAGCAUGGGGAGCGAACAGG